GUAUUUUUGGCCUAUAUUCAGUGUAUGAGUUUAUGGAAAAAUGUACUAUUCAGUGAAAAUACACAGAAAAGAAGGAACAAGCCCAAGCAAACAGCAAAUCUCGCCAGGCUGAGGGCAUUUGGAUUAAAGAACCACUCAAGAUCCUCUGCCAUGAUCCUCUGCCAUAAUUCUACUUAACAUGACACAAGUUAACUUAACUCAACACAACAUAUCUCAAUAUAGCUUAAUUAAUCUAAACUCAACACAAUUCAACUUAUCUCAACUCAACUCAACUCAUCUCAACUCAACACAGCUCCACUCAUCUCAACUCAUUACACCUCAACUCAACUCAUCUCAUCACGGCUAAACUCAUCCCAACUCAACUCAACUCAUCUCAACUCAACACAACUCACCUCAUCUCAACUCAACACAUCUCAACUCAACACAACUCAACUCAUCUCAACUCAUCACUAUUCAACUCAUCUCAUCACAGCUCAGCUCAUCACAACUCAAGUCAUCUCAACUUAAUACAACUCAAGUCAUCCCAACUCAACACAACUCAACUCAUCUCAACUCAUUACAACUCAACUCAACUCAUCUCAACACAAUUCAUCUCAUCACAGGUCAAUUCAUCUCAACUGAUCACAACUCCAGUCAUCUCAACUCAUCACAGCUUAAGUCAUCUCAACUCAACACAACUCAACUCAUCUCAACUCAACUUAUCUCAACUCAUCACAACUCCAAU
rnacentral:lncRNA from 10 species